rfam:Camelus ferus unplaced genomic scaffold scaffold24681, whole genome shotgun sequence.
GUGGAUAUAGCUCAGUGGUAGAGUGCGUGCUUAGCAUGCACAAGGUCCUGGAUUCAAUCCCCAGUAACUCCA